UCUCAGUUGGUGCAACGAGAUUUCUGUGUUCACACUUCGUGCAGGCAGCCGAGUCAAUUUUAUUUUUGUCACCAUAAUUAAAAUGCGCUGGUUGUGAGUGUGGUGUUGGUUGUGUUGGCUGCCAUUCACCGUCGGGCGCGCUGUGGUGUCCACCUUUCUGUUUUAACUUUUUUCGCUGCACUUCGUUAAGUUGAAUUUGAUGUUUUUUUUUGUUUUUGUGCAGUUAGCGCCGCGCUUAAUUUGAGAUCUGUUAAGGGUUGAAAUAAAAGUAUAUGACCGUAAGGAAGUGACCAUUUUUAUCCACCGCGAGCUUGGCCAGCGUUGGGCCACCAUUGGCGUACAUGCUGUAAGACAGCGGAUCCUACCAGUCGCCAUCUGCAGAAGCUGUAUGGAAGAAGAUGGGAUGGAAGCAACUCAACACUUCCUUCUUGACUGGUCCGCGUUCGGUAGGUCAAACUUAACACUUGGGAGCACAUACCUUAAGAUGUCUCGGACGAGAAUGGAAAUUAAACGCUUGUUCUUCUUUUCUAUGGAUUCAUAAAUAACUACAAAUGCGAUCUCCCUCGAUCAGCCAUCUAACAUAACCUAUUCCCAUAUAAAUUGAGCUGCCUAUACUCUGCACAAGAGAAUAAGUUGGAUUAAACGAAAAUUUAUAAGAAAACAGAGUCUCUAAUACGAUCUUAUGGUUACACAGAAAUCAAACACCUCGAAAUUCUCAAAAGAAAAUGAGCUAACUCAGGCUACGGAACGAUAUCGACUGGAAUAUAUAAGAGAGCCGCCGGAAAGACCGAAAAGAACUUUGAUAAUGAGAACCAAGCUCAUAGCCGACCCCUAAUUAAAGCAAUUAAUACCAAAUUUUGGCACAUUUUCUGUGCCCUUAGCGUUUCUAGUACGGACAAAUCAAAAACCGAAUCAAUGAAGAAAAUGGGCUGACUUGGGCUACAGAAAGCUAUCGACUAGAUCCUAAAAGGCAGCCGAAAGAAAAGCCGGACCGCUAUAACCGGUAGAAGAAAUUUGGACAUCAUAAUAUCUAAGAUACAAAAUAUUUGAGUCAAUACGGAAGGCUAGCGCAAGUUCGUAGAAGUUAUUUGGACAUCGCAGUAGCUAAGAUCCAGUUGCAAUCCAAAGUCAAUUCGAGAGGUCAGCAUAAUAUCGAAGUACUUGGAAGAGUAUCGUAGUAGCCCCUUGUGGAUAUCGCAAGUUUGAAGAAGAAAUUUGAACACAUAAGGUACAAAAAAGUUGGUCAAUAACUUAGUACAAAACCUUGCAGAGUAGCGAAUCGAACAAUUAAGUGGUAUAAAAUUGAUAGACUGGCAUAAGCAGAAAGACACAGUGUAGAAGGUAUUUUUCAGCUAGAAGUAAACGCUCCUAUAUGUGGAACUCUUAUAUGAGAGCAAAGCACUAACAAGGUGAACAGAGUAAGUGACGAAACGAAGACGGCUAGUAUUAUGUAAGCCAAAUAUGAACAAAACGUUCUUUAAUAAUAAUAACAAUAAAGAAAAGGCGCAAAUACUUAUGGUGUGCGUCAUGCAAAUAACAACAAAAGCAAACACACUAAUAUACAAAUAUGUAUAUAUAUACUCAAAUAUUUCUGCGACCCGCACGCACCAAAAGCGCUAAUAACUAAACAACAACGCACAAGCGAUAGUCAUAUGCCAUAAAUGGAGGGGGUUAACGCGCAGGGGGAGACACGCUUGACAAAACGGCGGCAAACCGGCGAAGACACCACAUAUUGUGUAUCUUACUUAUUUAUUUACUUGUUAAGCGUCGUAUGUGUGCUUUAUGCUCGUUUUUCCAAAACUACCAAAGUCACAUAGCAAAUGUUCACAUAUAUGUCUGUAUGUAUGUUCAAAUGUAUAUGAUUGCUUGUGUGUCGUCGUCGUUACCGGCAAAAUACCCGGCAUAUUCAUAUGUAUACAGUUUAGUAAGUAAAUACUGACCUUUUCUAAUAAUUCACAGUGAAGGCAUUCACGAAGAAAAUCGUCGUCAUUCGCCGCGGCCGCUACACAAGCAAGCGAAAGUCACAACAAAAAGACACAAAUAAUGAAAAUGGCUGGCAAACAACAGCCGAGUGGAAGUGGAAGUAGAAGUAGGCGUGGAACUAAAGUGAAAUGAGUCGAAGUAAGAAGCAGAAAUGUAUACAUAUAUAUACAUACAUGUGAAUAUACAUACAUAUAUGUAUGUAUGACAAUAUGCAAAGAGCGCUAUGAAGAGCAGACGAGUGUGUAAAUAUAUAAAUUAUUUAUUUGCUAAUAAAAAUUUAAAUUCCAAUUUGUUAAAA
rnacentral:lncRNA from 1 species